rnacentral:lncRNA from 13 species
CAUCCUAUUCAGUCAACUAGCCUUCAUUGUCAGCAUCCUAUUCAGUCAACAUCCUAUUCAGUCAACUAGCCUUCAUUGUCAGCAUCCUAUUCAGUCAACAUCCUAUUCAGUCAGCAUCCUAUUCAGUCAACAUCCUAUUCAGUCAACUAGCCUUCAUUGUCAGCAUCCUAUUCAGUCAACAUCCUAUUCAGUCAACUAGCCUUCAUUGUCAGCAUCCUAUUCAGUCAACUAGCCUUCAUUGUCAGCAUCCUAUUCAGUCAACUAGCCUUCAUUCAUACGUCUUUAUUCAGCUCCAAAAGCAGCAAAUGAGCACUAAUCUCCAAACAGCUGACUGUGGGCGGCACCCUACUCUCUCAACGGCUAGUGCCCAUAUGGAUGUCUUAUGUGGUGCAGGCGAGAGUCAUGGAUCCGUUUCAGUCAGUCGUCCCGAUGAGCCCUGCUGGCAACAGCAGCAUGGUUAAAACCUGUCAAAUAAAGUUGUGUUUAAUUCGCUGAGCGACGACGUUAUUGGCCACUUCCUGGAUUUCUUCACCGUCUCCAGUUUGUUCCAUCCCACAGGAUUGUAUUUUCAGUAGGAUAGUAAAAUACACGAGACAUAACUUGUAAUAUUGGUAGGAACAAUUCUGGAUGUCACUGUGAUCAGUGGUUUUAAAAAUACUUUGAAGUACUACUUAAGUCUUUUUUUGGGGGGGGGGGGUAUCUGUAUUUUACUCUUUUAUAUAUUUUUACACCUUUUACUUCACAACAUUACUGUUUUUUUAAAAUGUAUUUUAAUUAUUUAUUUGUAUGUUUUAUUUUCCCUGAUACCCAAAAGUACAUUUUGAAUGCUCGGGCAGGACUCACCGUGUUAUCAUCCCUGCUGCCUCUGCUCUGACGGACUCACUGAACACAAAUAUUGGUUUUGGAAAUGAUGUCUGAGUGUUGGAGUGUGCCCCUGCCGAUCCAUGAAUAAAUACAAAUUGUGCCAUUUAGGUUGGCUUAAUGAAAGGAAUGUGAUGUGUACAGCAUUUUUUUCUUUUUGUAUUUAAGUAUGUUUAAAACUAGGUACUUUUACUCAAGUAGUAUUUUACUGGGUGACUUUCACUUUAAUCAUUUUUUUGAUUUUAAGGCAUCUUUUACUCAAGUAUGACAAUUCAGUAGUUUUACCCACCACUGACCGUGAUAGUCUACACUUUUCAAGGGGGAGAGUUUGUGCUGCAAGCCGACGACACUGAGUAGUGUCCUUCACUCCCGUUUGCCACAUUAAGGAGUGGAAAGUAGCUAGAUAGCUGUCACCCAGGCCUGAUACACUAAAGCACCUUUUAUUGUAAUAAUUUUCACCAAACAUGUACGGCAUUCAUGUCCGUAAAAAAAGUAAUUACGGAUUCUGAACACUACCAAGUCAAACGGGCUCAUCAGGACGACAGACUAAACCAAAUCUGUUCUUCUCCACUCGACUCUCGCCGCAUGACAAACAUAAACCGUUUUUUUUCAUAAACCUGUCUAUUUUCUACAAUUUCACUUCUUAAAAUCAGCUUUUUUUUUCCAUAUCAGAGGAGGCUGGUGUGAUGAGCUAUAGGAGGAUGGGCUCAUUGCAAUGGGAUGAGUGGAACAGAGUCAAAUGUGGUUUCCAUAUGUUUGUGUUUGAUACCGCUUCAUUUAUUCCUAUAGCUCCUCUCACCAGCCACCUCUGUUUUUUUUAACCUUAACCACACUGCUAACCUUUUUCUUUAGAUAAAGAUUAUUUAUGGGUUGAGUGUUCUAGAAAUAUCUAAACAUUCUUUUAACUCCAAAGCAAUGGCAUGUGGCCCAGAAACCACUAACUCGUUGCAUUUUUCUAUUAUCAAGACUCCUGCUGGUAACUCUCGACUGGUUAGGACAGCUCAUGAGGUGAACUAAAUAUCUGUCGACUCGUGACUUCAUUCAUAGCUUUUAUUUUUAACCAUAAGUGUAGGAGUAAGAUGUCUCUAUACUCAGCACCUAGGAUCAAUUUUCAACAGCGAGACGCUUUGUGGAGACACCCUGAUGCCGUUCAGUCAGAAUAAUGCUUACCCAUCCAAACAUGAUCCGUCUACAUUGACCUCUUUCAAUGCUGGUGCUGUUUAAUCGUUGAUGGUGGUCGUUGAUCGUUGGUGGUGGUGGUUGAGAGGAGGAGGUGGUGGUUGAGAGGAGGUGGUGGUGGUGUUGGUUGAGAGGAGGAGGAGGUGGUGAUGGUUGAGAGGAGGUGGUGGUGGUGGUUGAGAGAAGGUGGUGGUGGUUG